rnacentral:misc_RNA from 1 species
UACGGAGGGUGCGAGCGUUGUUCGGAAUUACUGGGCGUAAAGGGCGCGUAGGCGGAUUUGCAAGUUAGGGGUGAAAGGCCCGGGCUCGACCUGGGAACUGCCUUUAAAACUGUGAGUCUUGAGUUCGAGAGAGGAUGGCGGAAUACCCAGCGUAGAGGUGAAAUUCGUAGAUAUUGGGUAGAACACCGGUGGCGAAGGCGGCCAUCUGGCUCGACACUGACGCUGGGGCGCGAAAGCGUGGGGAGCAAACAGG